UUGACAGGAGCUGGAGGCUGUGAGGGACGAAGAGGUGUAGUGUCACCUCGGCCGGCGGGCUGUGCUUGGCCACAAGGCUGAAUAUUUGCUGGACACCCUGUUUACCGUCUGUUCCCCCCCGCGGGAUUGCGGCGGCCGGCGGGAAGGGAUAUCGUCUGUCUCUCACUCACGUCCGGACCCUCAGUGCCCAGGCCCAAGAGAAUUCCUGAGGCUGGAGAUGGGCAGUGACCUCCGGCUGGGAAGCCCACGGCCAAGUGCACACCUGUCAUCCCGGCACUGGGGAGGCUGAGGCAGACUGGGUCAUCGAGAGUUUGA